rnacentral:lncRNA from 1 species
AGAAAGAAUAUCAGCCCUGGUUUUGCUGGAGGUCUUCUUGGGGAUCUCAGAUAGCUUCAGUCAUGAAACAUCAGGCUAACACAAGCUCAUCUCUCUCAAAACCUCUAACUUCAUUGUCCCAAACCACUUGUGUGAAAGACAGGUUGAAUGUAGCACAGUGCAAGCUCUGCUCUCCUGCAGUUAUUUAAGGGGAUUAACAGACUCACCCCCGCAUUGUGGAUGGCACAAUACUUAUGACAGAUAAAUCAAGCACAACAGGAGAAAUGCUGCUGAAGGGACCCAGUCACAGCAAUGUUUCCUGCUCCUGGAGGAAGUGCUGGAGUGUGCUGUUUCAGCGAGCUGGAAGAGAAGGCUGGCUUUUAUGAAUCUCUCUGCCUUGUGUGAGCUUAAUGCUUGUGAAGAGUACUGGACUGGACAUCAAAUGUGUGUGAAAAAACAUUCGAUGGUACUAUUCCAUGAUAAUGGUCUAAAAUACUACAGUUCCAAGUGAGUAC